UCACUUCCCCGAGUAAAGAGUGUGAGACAUCACAUCGAGAAUGCAAUUCCAAAUCUGUAACGUGUAAUUUUACACUAUCAGAAGGAGGGACACGUUCAAUCUCAGUCUUUAAAAAGAUGUCUGGCAACGAAGGGGUGUGUGUGUGUAAAACAAUAACAUGCAUGAUGUAUAUUAUGAUCAGAUCGUAUACGUGAUUAUAAGCAGAUUAUACCUCUAAUCUUAUAAGGGAUUAAAAAUGGAAACCGAGCUUCGGCACAUCAGUAAUAAUAAUAAUAAGUGGUAUGACGUGAUCAGUGGAUCGAUGAGGCUCUCUCUGAGUCACCAGAUCUCACUCUGAGAGAUCUGGUGGAAAGUCAGAGUUAUAGAGUUAUAGUGCUGAGAAAAGUUUGUAAAGAAAAAAUAAAAGUGUUUUUAUAAGGUUUUCAUUUCUUUGAUUCACCCUCGUAUAUUAAUGCACUUGUUCUUACAUGUUAUCGUUCCUAUAGUAGCUGAUAAUCAAGGAUGGGGUUGUGUGAUGCGUUACCAUGACCACCUGCUAUUGUUAUGCGUGUGUACAUAAUACGGGAACGCUUUAAGUGACCAUUCCCAUAAUAGUUUAUGAUUUCUGAGGCCCUCAUUGUAUCUGCAUUAUUAUAACGUAUUGCACUGGGGAGCUGUUUACCAAACAGUCAGUAAACCCUGCUGGAAGUGUUUUUUUAUUUAUUUUAUUUUUAUUAAAAAAAAAUUUUUUUUUUGCCCCCUAUCACUUUCUGUGCGAGGGUGGAGUGAGUGUUCUCAGUCCCGUCUCGGGCUGAACCAUCACAGCUCUAUUAAAAUUGUCAUCAAGUCUGAACAUUAGAACCCAGCUUCCUUUUUUUUCAAGAACACACUAUAUGGCCAAAAGUUUGUGGACACCUGACCGUCACACCCGUACAGUAUACUCUUGUUGAACAUCCCCUUCCAGAUGUAUUUCCCCUUUGCUGUUACAAUAGAGUCCACUCUUCUGGCCAGUAAAGUUCUUCUGCAUCAACCUUAACACACUGUGUCUUCAUGGAGCUGGGUUUGUGUACAGGGGCGUUGUGAUGCUGGAACCGGUUUGGGUCUAUUAGUUCCAGUGAAGGGAAAUUGUAACGCUACAGCGUACAGAGACGUUCUAUACAGCUGUGUGGCAACAGUUCAGGGAAGAAGCACAUGUGGGUGUUAUGGUCAGGCGUCCAUAUACUUUUGGUUACAUGGUAUAUCAUGUUUAUGCUGUAAUGAAGAUUCAGUGAACUGCAGGCUGGUGACUGAUUUCAGCACCAAGGACAGCACCAGCUGAGGCCUGAGUCACUAUGAGAGGCCGAGAGAAACAAGUCUCUCUCUCCAUUUCUUUAUCUCUUUCUGUCUGACUGAUUGUCUUUCCAUCUCUCUCUUGAUCGGUCUCUGUCUCACACUCUGUGUAUGUGUGUCUCACUGUUGUCUCUAUCUCGGUCUCUCACUUUGUCAUUCUCUCUCACUUUCUUUCUGUCUGACUGCCUUUCUGUCUCUAUUGAUCUCUCUCUCUCUCUCUCUCUCUCUCUCUCUCUCUGGGAGUGCGUGCGUGGGGAGGACAGAGUGCGGUUCUGAGACAAAAUCUUUUCAAAAUGUUUGGUAAACAGAGCAAAUGAUGUACUGCACACAAUCAUACACAAAGAUCAAUCAUACUGUAUAAGACAGAUCUAUUACAGAGAAUCUGCAUCUAGUAAGGGACUUGUAUGACCAUGCGUAUGACUACAAGAUUGAAAUGGGGUUUUUACCAUUAGAUCAGGAGAAAGCUUUUGACCGGGUCGAACAUGUUUUUCUUUUUAACAUCCUAAAGGCUUUUGGUUUUGGUGAAAAUUGUAUCUCAAUGAUGAGGCUAUUAUACUCUGAAGCUACAUUUAUGAUAAAAGUGGCCGGUAGCUUAAGUACUGCUGUGAAGGCUCAGAGGGGUAUCAGGCAGGGCUGCCCCCUGUCGGGCCGACUUUACAGCAUAAUUAUUUAACCCCUGCUAUAUAAGCUUAGGAAAGAAUUGACGGGUCUACAAAUCGACACUCUAAACGGUCAACAACCCACCAAAUUAUCUGCAUAUGCGGAUGAUAUCACAGUCAUAUUGUGGUGUUUGUCUUUUAGAUGCUGGUGAGACAGAGACUGUGGAGGACUCUCCUCCUCCUGAGAGUUUCAGGCUGGACCACACACUAGUGUAAGCAUACCCACGGUUUCCUUUCACAACUGCGUAUCUGAGCGUGUCUUUAACACUGACCUGUGAUGUGUUUUGAUAGCACCCCUUAUUCAAGCUCCAUAAGGGAGAUGCUGAUGACAUUUGGGACCGCAACUUAUAAAGUUGGGCUUAAGGUGCACCCUAAUGAGCAGGACCCCCGUGUGCCUAUCAUGUGCUGGGGCAGCUGUUCUUACACCAUCCAGUCUAUAGAGAGAUUAUUGGUAGAUGAGGAGAAGCCUUGUUUGGAAGUUUACCCUGUAGACAGGUAUGACAACCCAACUUAUUGUCAUAUCUCAGCCCAGCCAGGACUCGGUUUCCAGAGAAGCAACACCCACUUCUAACAUGGCCGCUGAGGACUACACUUCCCACACACGCAUGCGCUCACCUCCCCGGAGUUCUGAUCACACACACCUGCAGCCAAUCACCUUGUCCACUCACCACGGCUUAUUAAGAGACUUUGGAUACAGAGACACUUUGUGAAGUAAAUGUUCAGCAGACUAGUUUCUCUGUCGUUCUCCAAGCGUUACCUGCUGUGUUUAUUCGAUAAGUGACUUUGACCUUUGCUUACGUCCCCGACCACGAUUUCUGUCUUGCCCCGUUUGUUUUGUUUGCAUGAUCGCCUGACCCUCGCUUGCUUCUUGAUUAUGGACUGUGUUCACCCCUCUGGAUUAUUCUGCCUGAACCUGCCGCCCGCUUCUGCUUCUGUAUUCCCCACGGAGACUAUUUGAGUUCCCUGGCUCAGUUUGGCUCUGCAUGCUGGACUGUCUCCUCUCACUCCUCUGUGCAAAAUCACUUCAUGCGUCUGUUGGUAGGUAUAUUUAUUUCAUUAUUUAUUUAUUUAUUUUUCUCUCACUUGUAGUCUUUUAGUUCUUUAACUGUGUGUGUGCGCGCGCGCGCUCCGUGCAGCACUUGUUCUUGCUCCCCAGGUGGAAAGUUCCCCCUGCAUUCUGGAUGUGGACAUGUUCCACUUAGUGGUGAGCUGAAAAGCUUGUUAAAUGAUACUUUAGGCACUAUUAAAUGUAUAUUAGCAUCAGAUUAGAGUAUCAUUGUUGUCCAGAAUCUAAACCUGUCUAUCUAACAGGUAAUUGUCUGUGAUUUCUUUGGCUGUAGUCUCUGCAUCAUGUUUUGUGUUUGUAUGUCGGGGGAGUCUGGUGCUGUCCUAUUCAGCAUUGCACUGCUUAGACUCCUCAGGGCUUAGUGUGGAUACUGCACACCUGCAUCUCUUCCACUUGGUCAUUGUUGCUCACCUGGUCCAGAUCCUCCUCACCUCUGUGCCAGGUUAGAGCAUAUUCUACUUAGAGCACGUACAACUUAACAAUAGAUGGUGAUCUGUGUUAUGUUGUCAUUUGUUUGUGUUUAUUAACCCUCGUUCUUACAAAUGAGUAAUAACGUGUUUCAGUAUGAAUGUUCUUUUGGGAUGUUUUUAUUGAGUGUGCUGUCAGGCACAGUUGUGUGGGAGUCAAUAAUGGGGCUGUCAAAGUAAUUCACUGCAGCCAAGAGUGUUAGAUUUGCGUAGGGAUUUAUUUUGUUGUUUUUUUUUUGGGGUUUGAACACAAUUUUUAAAAAGUGCUUAAAUUUAAUCCUAAAGAAAUGUUUCUAUACAUGCUGCAGUCCACGUGUGUUUUAUUUACUAUUUGUUUUUUUAUACUGUUUCAGUAUUUAGUAGACUUUGUUUUGUGAAUAGCAAUGGUUUUGUGUCCGAGUUGUCAUGUUUUGAGUUUUGCCAAAACUUGCUGCUUAUUAGAGAUGCCGAGCAAAGGUGCUUCAAAGUAUUGAGCAAAGGCUGUGAAUACUUAUGAACAUGUGCUUUUUUUGUUUUUUAUUUUUCAUAAAUUUCAUACUCAUAAAGAUUUCAAACAAACUUCUUUCAUGUUGUCAUUAUGGUGUGUUGUUUGUAGAAUUUUGAGGAAAAUAAUGAAUUUAAUCCAUGUGGGAAUACAGCUGUAACAUAACAAAAUGUGGAAAAAGUGACGCGCUGCGAAUACUUUCCGGAUGCACUGUAUAUAGUAUAUUGUAUGUAGUGAAACUGAUCUUGUUCUUUCCCUGUCCCCUAUCUAUCUGUAGGUGCUGGGGAAUGGGAAGUGCUGUGUGCAUAUGUGUCUGCCUCCUAACCUGCUCCAGCUCUAUUAUAAUCACCAGGAGCUUCUGGAUCCCCUGCUUCAGGGGUGAGAAACUUCAUAACUGAGCCGAGAAAUGACAGGUUUUCUGUGAAUGCUGAUGAUGCCAUAUCAUGUGUACACAUCAUUGAUUGUUUUGUAAUGGGUUGAGUGUGUUGUGUCCAUUUGUCCUGCAGGUGGUGCUCACAUCCAGGCAUGCAACAAUGUCUCCAGUCACCUGAAACCCUUAUAAGUUUUCCUCGGGAAUCCAAUAAGCUAAUUGAUGUGCCAGAGGAUUACUGUGCACUGAUCAACCAGGCUUUCAGCUUCACGUGAGUGUGUGUACUCUGAGUUGCCUUCAUUUAUACCCAGUAUCUGCUUAAUAGAAUAGAAUUCUGGUGGACAUCUCUAGUUAUUGCUUUUGUGUUUAUAACCUCCAUUGUUUUUGUAGCUGUCCUAAGUCAGAUGGAGUUAAGUCUUGAGCUCAAACUCUGUGCUUGGUGUGUGUCACGAUGCUGUGUUCUCAGAGCAGCUGCUGCCAGACUGAGCUGGAGGGUGAGGACGUUGGAGCAUGUACUGCACACACCUUUGUUUGCUGAGCUGGUGUUAGUAUUUUCCUCAGGGUGAGGGAGAAUCAGGUUCUUUUCCUGUACCUCGAUGACUAUGGAGAACUGUCCAAGGGCUCAGAUGGAGGAAUGCGCUACAGAAAGAUUCAGAAGCUCUGGCGCUAGCACAGCAUCACCGAGGAGAUGGGUCAUGCACAGGAAGCUAAUCAGACUCUGGAGAACAUUGACUGGGAGAUCCUGGAUUUUCUUGGCUAAUGCCAAAUCUAAACUAACCAGGGAUCUGCACAUUUACCUAGAAAUAGUGCAGAAUCUUGAACAUCAAUUAUUGAAACUGUUGAACAUUUCCUUUUUUUGUUUUUACAUUUCAAAAUUCUAAAAACUUGUUUAUUUCUAAUUUUAAAUAAUAAAAAAAUUCUUAAUCAAAAUAGACAAAUGUCAUAUUCUGAGAUAUUUCUAAAAGAAGUUCAGUGAUCCAUAACUAAUGGAUGCUGUAAUGUACAACUGUUCUGAGCACAUUUUCUGUUUUUCACUUGCAACCUACAGCCAAAAUCCCCAGUACUGACUGAACACAUCAAAUGCUGAGUUUACUUUUACAAUCUUGAAUUAACACCUCUGCUAACUGCGUCAUCACCUACAGUGCUGAAUUGACAGUUUACUUAACAGCCAUAAUGCUCACUGUUUACAAUACGAAUUAAAGAUUAUAUAAACCCUGGAAUUGUGAAUUAAGCACACUUUUGGUUAAAAGAGGGGG